UACGGGGGGGGCAAGCGUUGUUCGGAAUUACUGGGCGUAAAGGGCUCGUAGGCGGCCAACUAAGUCAGACGUGAAAUCCCUCGGCUUAACCGGGGAACUGCAUCUGAUACUGGAUGGCUUGAGUUCGGGAGAGGGAUGCGGAAUUCCAGGUGUAGCGGUGAAAUGCGUAGAUAUCUGGAGGAACACCGGUGGCGAAGGCGGCAUCCUGGACCAACAUUGACGCUGAGGAGCGAAAGCCAGGGGAGCAAACGGG
rnacentral:rRNA from 1 species